rnacentral:rRNA from 1 species
GCGGUAACAGGUCCAGCUUGCUGGAUGCUGACGAGCGGCGGACGGGUGAGUAACGCAUAGGAAUCUACCCGGUAGUGGGGGAUAACCUGGGGAAACCCAGGCUAAUACCGCAUACGUCCUACGGGAGAAAGGGGGCUUAGGCUCCCGCUAUUGGAUGAGCCUAUGCCGGAUUAGCUGGUUGGUGAGGUAAUGGCUCACCAAGGCGACGAUCCGUAGCUGGUCUGAGAGGAUGAUCAGCCACAUCGGGACUGAGACACGGCCCGAACUCCUACGGGAGGCAGCAGUGGGGAAUAUUGGACAAUGGGGGCAACCCUGAUCCAGCCAUGCCGCGUGUGUGAAGAAGGCCCUCGGGUUGUAAAGCACUUUCAGCGAGGAAGAACGCCUGUCGGUUAAUACCCGGCAGGAAAGACAUCACUCGCAGAAGAAGCACCGGCUAACUCCGUGCCAGCAGCCGCGGUAAUACGGAGGGUGCAAGCGUUAAUCGGAAUUACUGGGCGUAAAGCGCGCGUAGGUGGCUUGAUAAGCCGGUUGUGAAAGCCCCGGGCUCAACCUGGGAACGGCAUCCGGAACUAUUAGGCUAGAGUGCAGGAGAGGAAGGUAGAAUUCCCGGUGUAGCGGUGAAAUGCGUAGAGAUCGGGAGGAAUACCAGUGGCGAAGGCGGCCUUCUGGACUGACACUGACACUGAGGUGCGAAAGCGUGGGUAGCAAACAGGAUUAGAUACCCUGGUAGUCCACGCCGUAAACGAUGUCGACCAGCCGUUGGGUGCCUAGCGCACUUUGUGGCGAAGUUAACGCGAUAA